UGCGCGAAUCAAAUCGAAACCUUGACAUCCCCCCCCCCGGGCAUACCUGGGGAAUUUGCUUGUUUAGUAUUUUAAGAAGGCGGGAAUUUGACCUUUUUUCCUAGUGGAAGGUGGGGAAUUUGAAGGGGGUCGGGAAUUUGAAUUUUUCUUUUAAACACGUGUGCAGAAUCCAAAAUCGCGUCAAUGAUUAAUGGAUGAGUUCAAGGUCUUCAAGUGCAAAGGAAUUAACUUUGUCCUUGGUUGGCUACAAGAAAACGGCUUUGAACGAUUGAAGAGAGUUUUUGAAGGAAAGAAAAACUCUGAAAUUCCAAAAUUGCGAAAUACUGUAGCUUCCAAUUCGUACAUGGGGUGGGGUAUUUGAACUCCAAUUUUUCCCAAUACGUGGUGUAUUUGAACGGGAAUUACAAAUAUAUGUAGGGAAUUUGACCUGACCAAAACGUCAAAAUCCAAAUUCCCGGGGGUAUGCCCGG
rnacentral:lncRNA from 1 species